rnacentral:rRNA from 1 species
AUUGAACGCUGGCGGCAGGCCUAACACAUGCAAGUCGAGCGGAUGAAGGGAGCUUGCUCCUGGAUUCAGCGGCGGACGGGUGAGUAAUGCCUAGGAAUCUGCCUGGUAGUGGGGGAUAACGUCCGGAAACGGGCGCUAAUACCGCAUACGUCCUGAGGUAGAAAGUGGGGGAUCUUCGUACCUCACGCUAUCAGAUGAGCCUAGGUCGGAUUAGCUAGUUGGUGGGGUAAAGGCCUACCAAGGCGACGAUCCGUAACUGGUCUGAGAGGAUGAUCAGUCACACUGGAACUGAGACACGGUCCAGACUCCUACGGGAGGCAGCAGUGGGGAAUAUUGGACAAUGGGCGAAAGCCUGAUCCAGCCAUGCCGCGUGUGUGAAGAAGGUCUUCGGAUUGUAAAGCACUUUAAGUUGGGAGGAAGGGAAGUAAGUUAAUACCUUGCUGUUUUGACGGUACCAACAGAAUAAGCACCGGCUAACUUCGUG